GCCGGGGCGUUCAGCUCAGCCAUGCAUGUGUAAGUAUAAAUAAUUCUACUUUGAAACUGCGAAUGGCUCAUUAUAUCAGUUAUAGUUUAUUAGAAAAAAUGUACUACUUGGAUAACCGUAGUAAUUCUAGGGCUAAUACAUGAAUGAAUCCUCGACUUUGAAGAGGUGUGUUUAUUAGUAUGAAAACCAUAUGCUUCGGCAUGAUAGUGAGUAAUAAUAACCUUUCAUAUCGUAUGUUGAAAUAACGAUAGUUCUUUCAAGUUUCUGCCCUAUCAGCUUUCGAUGGUAGUGCAUUGGACUACCAUGGCAGUAACGGGUAACGAAGAAUUUGGGUUCGAUUUCGGAGAGGGAGCCUGAGAGAUGGCUACCACAUCCAAGGAAGGCAGCAGGCGCGUAAAUUACCCAAUCCUGACAUAGGGAGGUAGUGACAAUAAAUCACAAUGCGGGACUUUUAAUUUUGCAAUUGGAUUGAAAACAAUGGAAAAAAAUUAUCCAUAAACAAUUGGAGGGCAAGUCUGGGGGCCGCAGCCCCGGUAAUUCCCGCUCCCAUAACGUAUAUUAACGUUGUUGCCUUAAAAAAACCUCAAAAA
rnacentral:rRNA from 1 species